UAGGGAAUAUUGCAAAUGGGCGAAAGCCUGAUGUAGCAACGCCGCGUGUGCGAUGAAGGUCUUCGGAUUGUAAAGCACUUUUUGGAGGGAUGAGGAAGGACAGUACCUCCAGAAUAAGCCUCGGCUAACUACGUGCCAGCAGCCGCGGUAACACGUAGGCGGCAAGCGUUAUUCGGAUUUACUGUGCGUAAAGCGCGUGCAGGCGGUUUGGAAAGUUGGAUGUGAAAGCUCCUGGCUCAACUGGGAGAGGUCGUUCAAAACUUCCAGACUUGAGAGUGGUAGAGGGAGGUGGAAUUCCGGGUGUAGUGGUGAAAUGCGUAGAUAUACGGAGGAACA
rnacentral:rRNA from 1 species